CUCGGCAGCAGGGGCGGGCCGAGCGCGGGAGAGAGGACCCGAGAGCUGAGCGGCUGGUUUGGCCCCGGUCGGCUGCCUCCCCACUGCCCGAGUCCCCACCCGGCACCGCACCGACACCCUGCGCCAGCCUCCGUCCCAGACAAGGGCCCCCAACACCAGCAUGGACUGCUGCACCGAGAGCGCCUGCUCCAAGCCGGACGACGACAUUCUAGACAUCCCGCUGGACGAUCCGGGUGCCAACGCGGCCGCUGCCAAAAUCCAGGCGAGUUUCCGGGGCCACAUGGCGCGGAAGAAGAUAAAGAGCGGAGAGCGCGGCCGGAAGGGCCCGGGCCCCGGGGGUCCUGGCGGAGCUGGGGGCGCCCGGGGAGGCGCGGGCGGCGGCCCCAGCGGAGACUAGGCCAGAACUGAGCAUUUUCGAAGUUUCCGAAGAGAGAUGGAUGCCACGUCCCCUUCGCAGUGACGAGACUUCCCUGCCGUGUUUGUGAUCCUCUCCUUCCCACCAACCUGCCAGCUUCAGGAGCCCUCUCUGCGUCCUCAGAGACUCCCUCACCGAGGCAGACUCCGUCGAGGACUCACCAAGGCCGUGCCCUUUUAGUUAGUUCUCCAGUCUAGUAUGGUCCCCAUUUGCCCCCCCUUCGACCCUAACCCCAACCUCCGCGCUCCCAAAUCUUCCUUCUUUAGCUUCUCGCCCACCUCUCCCCGCACCCAGCAUGCUGCUCUGCCUCCGCAGCCUCGGUGCGCUUCCCUUCGCGCUCUGCGGAGGGCGCCCUAAGCGUUGCCCAAAAACACUCCAAAAAAAACGUCCUUUCGAUCUCUGCGCAGCUAAAGGGGGCGCCGUGCCUCUCUGCGCUGUUCACGUCCCAGCUUAGUCCCAGAACUUUGGAUAGGGGAGGAGGGUUUUUAUGGUGUCGGAUACCCCUUGCUGUGAUCGGAAGUCCCCAUUUCACACCCCAACCCCACACCUGCCUGUAAUCUGCCCUCCCCUCUCCCCAGCGCACCCCGAGAGCCGCCUCUCCAGCUCUCUGCUUGUUUCUGCAAAGGCCGAGUGUGGGGGAGGCUCGGUAGGAGGAGUCUUCCGCGGCCCCGCCCCCACGGGCUCCUGGGGCUGUGGCCGGGAGGGUUUUUAUCUCCGUGUGUGCAUGUGACCGUGCUGGGUUGGAAUGUGAACAAUAAAGAGGAAUGUCCAAGUGUU